AAUUUAUAGAGAAGAGGCGAGAGAAUAGGCUCCCUGACCCUCUGGCAACCUGUUGAAGAGCAAGGUGCCACAUCCUAUCCCGGCUGGACCGGGGCAUAUAAAUA
rnacentral:ncRNA from 2 species